rnacentral:rRNA from 1 species
CCUACGGGUGGCUGCAGUGGGGAAUAUUGGACAAUGGGGGCAACCCUGAUCCAGCCAUGCCGCGUGUGUGAAGAAGGCCCUCGGGUUGUAAAGCACUUUCAGUGAGGAAGAACGCCUGGUGGUUAAUACCCAUCAGGAAAGACAUCACUCACAGAAGAAGCACCGGCUAACUCCGUGCCAGCAGCCGCGGUAAUACGGAGGGUGCGAGCGUUAAUCGGAAUUACUGGGCGUAAAGCGCGCGUAGGUGGCUUGAUAAGCCGGUUGUGAAAGCCCCGGGCUCAACCUGGGAACGGCAUCCGGAACUGGCAAGCUAGAGUGCAGGAGAGGAAGGUAGAAUUCCCGGUGUAGCGGUGAAAUGCGUAGAGAUCGGGAGGAAUAACAGUGGCGAAGGCGGCCCUCUGGACUGACACUGACACUGAGGUGCGAAAGCGUGGGUAGCAAACAGGAUUAGAUACCCGUGUAGUC